GCGAACGGGUGAGUAACACGUGGGCAAUCUGCCCUUCACUCUGGGACAAGCCCUGGAAACGGGGUCUAAUACCGGAUAACACUCUGUCCUGCAUGGGACGGGGUUAAAAGCUCCGGCGGUGAAGGAUGAGCCCGCGGCCUAUCAGCUUGUUGGUGGGGUAAUGGCCUACCAAGGCGACGACGGGUAGCCGGCCUGAGAGGGCGACCGGCCACACUGGGACUGAGACACGGCCCAGACUCCUACGGGAGGCAGCAGUGGGGAAUAUUGCACAAUGGGCGAAAGCCUGAUGCAGCGACGCCGCGUGAGGGAUGACGGCCUUCGGGUUGUAAACCUCUUUCAGCAGGGAAGAAGCGCAAGUGACGGUACCUGCAGAAGAAGCACCGGCUAACUACGUGCCAGCAGCCGCGGUAAUACGUAGGGUGCGAGCGUUGUCCGGAAUUAUUGGGCGUAAAGAGCUCGUAGGCGGCUUGUCACGUCGGAUGUGAAAGCUCGGGGCUUAACCCCGAGUCUGCAUUCGAUACGGGCUAGCUAGAGUGUGGUAGGGGAGAUCGGAAUUCCUGGUGUAGCGGUGAAAUGCGCAGAUAUCAGGAGGAACACCGGUGGCGAAGGCGGAUCUCUGGGCCAUUACUGACGCUGAGGAGCGAAAGCGUGGGGAGCGAACAGGAUUAGAUACCCUGGUAGUCCA
rnacentral:rRNA from 1 species